UAGGAUGUUAUACUGAGA
rnacentral:piRNA from 1 species